CAACUCGACUACAUGAAGCUGGAAUCGCUAGUAAUCGCGAAUCAGAAUGUCGCGGUGAAUACGUUCCCGGGUCUUGUACACACCGCCCGUCACACCAUGGGAGUCAGUAACGCCCGAAGCCGGUGACCCAACCAGUUCUGGAGGGAGCCGUCGAAGGUGGGACCGAUAACUGGGGUGAAGUCGUAACAAGGUAUC
rnacentral:rRNA from 1 species